rnacentral:lncRNA from 1 species
GGCGACGUAAGCGGCGAGGGACCUGAUCCAGCGGGGAAGCACCGCGACGGGGACGCCUCCGACGUCGGCCACGAGGAGGGACAACAGAAGAAGAGGCGGGCGGAAGAUCGCCACCAGACCAUUCUUCAAAUAUGGAUUCCCUAGCAGCAACAGCAACACUCUGCCGCUCAACAAUAAGCUGGCGCAGAGAAGGAAGAUCCAAGGUUAACGACCGAGGAUCCAAAAUAUUCAAAAUUCGAUCCAGCUCCUCAAUCUCUCCCUGAAUAAAAUCAGCAAAGAGACUCACAAGAAGAG